UAGGGAAUAUUGCACAAUGGGCGAAAGCCUGAUGCAGCAACGCCGCGUGCGCGAAGAAGGCCUUCGGGUUGUAAAGCGCUUUUCUGGGAGAUGAGGAAGGACAGUAUCCCAGGAAUAAGGCUCGGCUAACUACGUGCCAGCAGCCGCGGUAAAACGUAGGAGCCAAGCGUUAUCCGAAUUCACUGGGCGUAAAGCGCGUGCAGGCGGCCCGAUAAGUUGGAUGUGAAAUCUCCUGGCUCAACUGGGAGAGGCCGUUCAAUACUGUUGGGCUCGAGGGCGACAGAGGGAGGUGGAAUUCCGGGUGUAGUGGUGAAAUGCGUAGAUAUCCGGAGGAACACCAGAGGCGAAGGCGACCUCCUGGGUCGUACCUGACGCUCAGACGCGAAAGCUAGGGGAGCGAACGG
rnacentral:rRNA from 1 species